UUACAAGCUGUGGAAGCACAUUUCUUGUGUGACCGCGUACUUUUUGUAGAACGGGCCAACGAGUUACGUUAAGUAGCAAGGGUAAGCACUUAAGGUGCGGAGCCGUAGCGAAAGCGAGUUUUAACUGCGCGUUCAGUUACUUGACGUAGACCCGAAACCGGGCGACCUACCCAUGAGCAGGAUGAAGCGAAAGUAAAAUUUCGUGGAGGUCCGAACCCACGAGCGUUGAAAAGC
rnacentral:rRNA from 1 species